rnacentral:rRNA from 1 species
AUUGAACGCUGGCGGCAUGCUUUACACAUGCAAGUCGAACGGGGGUAGCAAUACCCUAGUGGCGAACGGGUGAGUAAUGCAUCGGAACGUGUCCCGUAGUGGGGGAUAGCCCGGCGAAAGCCGGAUUAAUACCGCAUAUGCUCUACGGAGGAAAGCAGGGGAUCGCAAGACCUUGCGCUAUGGGAGCGGCCGAUGUCCGAUUAGCUAGUUGGUGAGGUAGAGGCUUACCAAGGCGACGAUCGGUAGCUGGUCUGAGAGGAUGAUCAGCCACACUGGGACUGAGACACGGCCCAGACUCCUACGGGAGGCAGCAGUGGGGAAUUUUGGACAAUGGGGGCAACCCUGAUCCAGCCAUGCCGCGUGAGUGAAGAAGGCCUUCGGGUUGUAAAGCUCUUUCGGCCGGAGAGAAAGCCUGAGCUCUAACAUAGCUUGGGGUUGACGGUACCGGCAGAAGAAGCACCGGCUAACUACGUGCCAGCAGCCGCCGUAAGAC